GUAUUUUUGUACUUCUAAUAAUUAAUUAUCCUUCUUUCACCUCUUUCCAUACAUAAAAAAAUAUACAUUACCUUUCCUUAUUUUUUCAUUAAUUCACCUCUUUCCAAACAUGAGAUUUUUUUUAUUGUAACCCUCUCCACCCUUCCCCUUCCUUACCCUCCCUUAUCCUUUUAUUAAUUACCCUUCCCUUGCCCCAUCUAAACAGAGCCUUACACCCCAAUAUGGAGUGUAAAAAAAAUUGAGAUUUGUGGGAUAAGGCUUAUCCUUACUUGCUUUUACCACCCAUUAACUCACCUCUUUUCAAUCAAGGGUAAAAUAAUUAAUUAUCCCUCCUUACAUUUAUUUACCCCUCCUUACCUCACCUUCAUCCAAACAGACCCUUAGGUUUGGCUCAUAUGGUGAAUUGCUCUCAUUAUCAGUUGAUGUCAU
rnacentral:misc_RNA from 1 species